CAUUAUGAGACUUUGGAUGGGAUUCAAAGUUCACACAUCUCUCUCAGUAAAAGACAGACACCGGCAGGACAUUUAUAGAGCUUGUGCCAGCUUAACUUUUCUUCUGGGAUGCAGAGAGUGGUCACCUCAUUUGGUUGAUUCCAGGCACAAGGACAAGUGAAAGCAAUGUGAUAUAGAACUCAUGAGGAAUGGAUGCCCCAUGGCUUGUGAUAUGUUUCCAGGGCCUAAACCCCAAGAGCCCCCCUGCCCUACUCAAAAAGCCUCUGGUCCAAUGCCAACAUGCAGAUUUUUAGGACUCGCUGAGGAGGGGUGAUGACAGAGAAAUAUGAUUCACAAAGGAGACAGUCAUACUGCUGUGCAGGCCAGGAAGGUCGUACGGUGCCCCAACAUGGCCGUUGGAAUGCUGAUAUGUUAACAUCGUGCUGGUUACCGACAACAUAGAGGAAGUAUGAGGCACUGAGUGACUCCAAAUUGAUGGUCAUCCAAAUACCAGGGGAGUAGAAGGCGAAGGAAAGUAACAUGAUCACUUUAUCGGUAGAAGGUCACUUAACAUAGAGCAAAUCAAACACAACCUCUGAUUUGUUUGGCUUAUCACUUUUCUCAUUUCGAUGCAAAAUGUUCUCUGAGAAAUGACCUCUUCAUUGAAUGAGUAAGAUUCUGCAUGUUGUAUCCGUAUGAGGAUGUUCUUAAUAGAAUUUCAAGAGGAGCCUCAUCCAUGAUGACAUU